ACUUUUAUCGCAUGGUAGAAGUAUCAAAGCUCCGGCGGUACAGGAUGGACCCGCGUCUGAUUAGCUAGUUGGUAAGGUAACGGCUUACCAAGGCGACGAUCAGUAGCCGACCUGAGAGGGUGAUCGGCCACAUUGGAACUGAGACACGGUCCAAACUCCUACGGGAGGCAGCAGUGGGGAAUAUUGCACAAUGGGCGAAAGCCUGAUGCAGCAACGCCGCGUGAGCGAUGAAGGCCUUCGGGUCGUAAAGCUCUGUCCUCAAGGAAGAUAAUGACGGUACUUGAGGAGGGAGCCCCGGCUAACUACGUG
rnacentral:rRNA from 1 species